rnacentral:rRNA from 1 species
UGCAAGUCGAACGCGAAUUUUUCAAUUAGCAAUAGUUGAAAAGUUUGAGUGGCGAAAGGGUGCGUAACACGUGGGUAAUCUAUCAUCUUGUGGGGGAUAACUCCGCGAAAGCGGAGCUAAUACCGCAUGUGGUUUGAAGUCGCAGGAUUUUUAACCAAAGCUGGGGACCGCAAGGCCUGGCGCAGGAUGAGGAGCCCGCGGCCUAUCAGCUUGUUGGUGAGGUAACGGCUCACCAAGGCUUACGGGUAGCUGGUCUGAGAGGACGACCAGCCACACUGGGACUGAGACACGGCCCAGACACCUACGGGUGGCAGCAGUCGAGAAUUUUUCUCAAUGGGGGAAACCCUGAAGGAGCGACGCCGCGUGGGGGAUGAAGGACUUCGGUUCGUAAACCCCUGUCACCUGGGAACAAAACAUGCGAGCUAACAAGUCGCAGGCUGAUAGUACCAGGAGAGGAAGGCACGGCUAACUCUGUGCCAGCAGCCGCGGUAAUACAGAGGUGCCAAGCGUUGUUCGGAUUUAUUGGGCGUAAAGGGUGCGUAGGUGGUGAUGCAAGUCGGGCGUGAAAUCCCGGAGCCUAACUCCGGAAUGGCAUUCGAAACUGCAUCGCUCGAGGUCUGGAGAGGUGACUGGAAUUCUCGGUGUAGCAGUGAAAUGCGUAGAUAUCGAGAGGAACACCAGAGGCGAAAGCGAGUCACUGGACAGAACCUGACACUGAGGCACGAAAGCCAGGGGAGCAAACGGGAUUAGAUACCCCGGUAGUCCUGGCCGUAAACGGUGCGCAUUUGAGUGGGAGGAUCGACCCCUUUCGUCCCGUAGCUAACGCGUUAAAUGCGCCGCCUGGGGAGUACGGUCGCAGAUUAAAACUCAAAGAAAUUGACGGGGGCCCGCACAAGCGGUG